rnacentral:rRNA from 1 species
CCUACGGGUGGCAGCAGUCGAGACUCAUUCACAAUGGGGGAAACCCUGAUGGUGCGACGCCGCGUGGGGGAAUGAAGAUCUUCGGAUUGUAAACCCCUGUCAUGUGGGAGCAAAUUAAAAAGAUAGUACCCCAAGAGGACGAGACGGCAAACUAUGGGCCAGCCGCCGCAGUACUACAGAGGUAUCAAGCGUUGUUCGGAAUCACUGGGCGUAAGGCGUGCGUAGGCGGUUUAGUAAGUCGUGUGUGAAAGGCGCGGGCUCAACCCGCGGACGGAACAUGAUACUGCGAGACUGGAGUGCAGGAGGGGUAGGCGGAAUUCCUGGUGUAGCGGUGAAAGGCGUAGAUAUCAGGAGGAACACCGGUGGCGAAGGCGGCUUGCUGGACUGCAACUGACGUUGAGGCCCGAAAGCGUGGGGAGCAAACAGGAUUAGAUACCCGGGUAGUC